GCGGAGGAUGAUACCAUUUUUAACUCGUAACACCUUCGGUGUGCUGAAGAUUAAAAACGCAACAACAAACACUCUAAUUUUUUGCUGACG
rnacentral:snoRNA from 1 species